AUUGAACGCUGGCGGCAGGCCUAACACAUGCAAGUCGAGCGAGCGGCGGAAGGGUGAGUAAUGUAUGGGGAUCUGCCUGCUGGAGGGGGAUAAAUCCUAGAAACGGUAGCUAAUACCGCAUACCAUCAGAUGAACCCAUAUGGGAUUAGCUUGUGGGUGGGGUAACGGCUCACCUCGGCGACGAUCCCUACGUGGUCUGAGAGGAGGAUCAGCCACACGGGGACUGAGACACGGCCCAGACUCCUACGGGAGGCAGCAGUGGGGAAUAUUGCACAAUGGGCGCAAGCCUGAUGCAGCCAUGCCGCGUGUAUGAAGAAGGCCUUCGGGUUGUAAAGUACUUUCAGUCGGGAGGCGUUACCGACAGAAGAAGCACCGGCUAACUCCGUGCCAGCAGCCGCGGUAAUUC
rnacentral:rRNA from 1 species